CUUUCAGCGAUCGGCCGCGUGUCUGGGAAGCAUGGCGCCACGGUGGGGUGCAGCACCGCUGAGCAGCCUUACAGGCUUUGGGUGAUGCCUUUCUCUAGCUUCUGGGGAGAUGAGAAGCAGAGCUGCAGGUUGCAGUUUAAAAGUAACGGAACCGCAAAAUGAGAAAAGAUGGAUGCAAGCAGGUCCUGGGGGUGGUCACCAGAAAGCAGAGAUGGCGUGAUGUUCCGGCACAUCCACCUCAUAAGUUGUUCCAAGUUAAGUUGAAUAUCCAUGGUAUUGGCUGUGGACUUGUGAAACCCAUCAUCUUAAAAUAUUGACCUUAAGAAUUUUUGUGAUGAAAUUUCUGUAAAUGUUUCUCUUCCUCACCAGGUGCAAUCUCUGCUUCCGUUGGAAAAGGACCCUCUAGCAGCCACAUUGUGGCAGGCACCAUGGACCUGAACCUCAAGUGGAAUCUCUCAUGUGUCUACUCAGCAAGGUUACUAACUGUAAACUGCUUUACCAGAAGGCAAG